rnacentral:lncRNA from 1 species
ACUUCCAAGGGAUUUUAAAUUAAGCAUGGUGCUUAGGUUAAAAUGCCCUUCUAAAUCAAAUUAGACAUGGUGUCUAGGUUGAUUUUUGAGCCGAUAGUAUGCUAUAGUAGAUAUGGGAUAUUUUGUUGGACUAACCCCUGCUGGAAAACUUUCAACCUAGGAAGUCCUGAGAUACAAACUCAUUGGAGAUGAAGAAAGUGACACAUAAAGUUUAACAAUUUGCACA